GGGGAGGGUGGGGGUAGGGGCGGAGCAACGGACAGCUCCUCCAAGGCGCUUGCGUUUUAUAGGUUGCCAUAGCGACCAGGAACGCGAUCCUCAGCCUGGCUUCCAAUCUGGGUGCCCUCAACGCCUUAGGUCGGAGUAUCUGAGGUUUCCGGAGCCCGCACCAGCGGGUAGGAACGAUCAGUCGGUUUCCAAAAAAUAAGUUACUGGGUCUAUUUUGAUGGCGACAACAUCCUCAUUCAAGAGUACCAGUAAAAGCCCAAGGCAGAAAAUAACGACUAAAUAGUAUAGGAAAAUCAGUCACACAAAGCAACAUGGAACGGAAAACACUAAAGUUGAGAACUAAUCCUCAGUUAUCUUUACUGCUUUAAACUUCGGCAGGUAGGAAACUAUGUGAAAGAAUUCUCUGAUGUCAUAAUUUCUGGGUGUCACUGGCUCAUUCGACCAGCCUUCCUUUGGCACAUUCCAUCCUCCUAUGGAAGGAGAAUAGAAGCAUUUGAUUUAUUUAGCCUCUACAGGAAUCAAACUUCACUUAUUUUGGUUUUCAGUGAAUUAUGCCUUUUCGGUUUGGUACUCAGCCAAGGAGGUUUCCAGUGGAAGGAGGAGAUUCUUCAAUUGGUCCUGAACCUGGCCUGAGCUCCAGUACUGCAUGGUAUAGGAAAGAGACUCCACCAACCAGGCAACUCCGAAGAUGCCCUGGAAGUCACUGUCUGACAAUCACUGAUGUUCCUGUCAAUCUUUAUGCGACAAUGAGAAAACCACCUGCUCAAAGCAGCAAGGAAAUGCACCCCAAAUAGCCGCUCCUUUGGUGAAGAUCAUCAUAAGGCUUUUGUAGAGGUUUGACUAGGUCAAGGUAAUGGGCCAGUAUCAUUUUAUGAUCUGGUAAACAAAUAAAAGUGGUGACACCAUUGGAUGUUCACAA